rnacentral:rRNA from 1 species
UUGCCCCAGUAACGGCGAGUGAAGCGGCAACAGCUCAAAUUUGAAAUCUGGCCCCCAGGGCCCGAGUUGUAAUUUGCAGAGGAUGCUUUUGGCGCGGUGCCUUCCGAGUUCCCUGGAACGGGACGCCAUAGAGGGUGAGAGCCCCGUCUGGUCGGACGCCUAGCCUAUGUAAAGCUCCUUCGACGAGUCGAGUAGUUUGGGAAUGCUGCUCUAAAUGGGAGGUAUAUGUCUUCUAAAGCUAAAUAUUGGCCAGAGACCGAUAGCGCACAAGUAGAGUGAUCGAAAGAUGAAAAGCACUUUGAAAAGAGGGUUAAAUAGUACGUGAAAUUGUUGAAAGGGAAGCGCUUAUGACCAGACUUGGGCCCGGUGGAUCAUCCAGCGUUCUCGCUGGUGCACUCCGCCGGGUUCAGGCCAGCAUCAGUUCGCCGCGGGGGAAAAAGGCUUCGGGAACGUGGCUCCUACGGGAGUGUUAUAGCCCGUUGCAUAAUACCCUGGGGCGGACUGAGGUUCGCGCUCCGCAAGGAUGCUGGCGUAAUGGUCAUCAGCGACCCGUCUUGAAACACGGACCAAGGAGUCGUCUUCGUAUGCGAGUGUUCGGGUGUAAAACCCCUACGCGUAAUGAAAGUGAACGCAGGUGAGAGCUUCGGCGCAUCAUCGACCGAUCCUGAUGUUCUCGGAUGGAUUUGAGUAAGAGCAUACGGGGCCGGACCCGAAAGAAGGUGAACUAUGCCUGUAUAGGGUGAAGCCAGAGGAAACUCUGGUGGAGGCUCGCAGCGGUUCUGACGUGCAAAUCGAUCGUCAAAUAUGGGCAUGGGGGCGAAAGACUAAUCGAACCUUCUAGUAGCUGGUUUCCGCCGAAGUUUCCCUCAGGAUAGCAGUGUUGAACUCAGUUUUAUGAGGUAAAGCGAAUGAUUAGGGACCCGGGGGCGCUUUAUAGCCUUCAUCCAUUCUCAAACUUUAAAUAUGUAAGAAGCCCUUGUUGCUUAAUUGAACGUGGGCAUUCGAAUGUAUCAACACUAGUGGGCCAUUUUUGGUAAGCAGAACUGGCGAUGCGGGAUGAACCGAACGCGAGGUUAAGGUGCCAGAGUAGACGCUCAUCAGACACCACAAAAGGCGUUAGUACAUCUUGACAGCAGGACGGUGGCCAUGGAAGUCGGAAUCCGCUAAGGACUGUGUAACAACUCACCUGCCGAAUGUACUAGCCCUGAAAAUGGAUGGCGCUCAAGCGUCUCACCCAUACCUCGCCCUCAGGGUAGAAACGAUGCCCUGAGGAGUAGGCGGACGUGGAGGUCAGUGACGAAGCCUA